rnacentral:lncRNA from 13 species
AAUCUCAAAAUACUCUUUCAAAUAAAUGUGUAAUCUAGCAAUAAUUUAAACGUUUCUUUUUUUCCAGAUAUGAUCCGGCCUUGCCUUGGAGGGUGCUAACUUUCAUUAAAACUACUCACAUCAAAAGUGAGACUUAUCUCAAAUAAUUAGGGAAAUAUUCAGAAUAUCUUAAGCAAUUCCUCCAACUACAGGUACCAAUGCUGCAGACUUUUUGCACUUUUUUGCUUAUCUCAACACCCAUAUAGAUAAUGUUGCUGCCACUGAGGGCAUGGAAGAUGAUGAAGAGGCUACAGCAAUUGUCUUAGACACAAAAUUCAAGAAGAUACCAAAUAACUCAGCAGCCAAGGAGGAAGCUCGAUCAUAGCCAGUUUAAGCAACCUGUUCAAGCUCAAGAUCACACAGCUAUUAAGUCACACUAGCUCUGGAAAAAGCAGCUCUGAAGAAAGGAAGUAGCCAUGUAGAGAGGUCCAUGUGGCACAGAAAUGAUACUUCAGAUCAACAACCAAAAAAGACAUUAAGCCUGACAACAGUUACAUGGUGGAACAUACUUCAAAAUAAUUAUGAUCUGAAGCUAUUGUAAUUAGCACAAGAUGAAGCCUUGUUUUAGAUCACAGUGAUUGGGAAGAAUGAUUUGGUAAGACUUUAUUUAGUAAACCAUGUUUAAUAGCACAGGUAUUAAACGUGAAUAUUUGAAAUGUUUUUAAACUCAUCAGCAGGAUCUAUAAAUACUGUCACUUAGAUUUUUGCUUUAAUUACUCUUGCAUUUUAACAAUGUAGUUAAUUUCUUC